UCGGAUAUGGUGUAACGGCUAACAUUGCCGCCUUUCAUUAGAUGUCAUCAUAGACAAUCGCGGCAGCUCGGGGUUCGAUUCCCCGUAUCCGAA